UACUGAGAGUUCACUGAGUCCAGAUCAUAGUUUGAUUCAUCCACCAUUUCACACUCUUAAUAAUUUCCUUCCUGUAGAAGCUUCUCAUUACCAUAAGCUCAGAUCAAAAGUCAACUCCUGCAUGAAUCUUUACAAGGUAUUUUUAGCAUAGUAUAAUGUUUUUUUUUUUUUACACUGGACUGAAGAAAAGAAAAAUUCGGAAAAUAAUUGGGAAUGAAUUAUUGUUUAAGAAAGUAAUGGUUGGAGCUUUAAUCCUUGUGGUUCUGGAACAGUACAUUAGAUCAGCUGCCAAUCACGCAGGCAGGAUAUCUCCUGCCAUGUGCCACUCACCCCUGGAGCAGCAGUGCCAGCAUCUACUUGAAUAGGAGAGUGAUGGAGGGCUGUUUUGCAGAAAAGAACGGUUUAAUGAGCAGAAUUGUCAUAACUAUGUAGCAAAUGAGUACCUACACUUAUAACAGAAUCCAGUUAGUAAAAAUGAAUGCAUUCUCAUAAAAUUCUCCCUUUCCUUCUUGAAAGCUACAAAGCCGUCUAUAAAGAACAGAAUGGAAUCCACAGUUGUGAAUUCCAUGGGUUCCUGGAAACUUCAUACUGUGCCAAGUGAGGUACAACAAAAUAGCACAUGUCUGUUUCUUUAAAUAAAAUCUAAUAGACACAGAAUCAUAGCCCGGUAUUUGCCUUCUCACAUGAGGGAUCUUCAAGGUGACUUCUAUUCUGACUACAUUAAUAAAAAUAGUCUUUGAAAGAUCCAUACAAAUCUAUUACAAAAUACUGCCCGUGGCUGCCUAUAUUGACAGUAAUGUAAAUAUUAAAGAAAAAAAUCGAAUGGCUUUAUACAUGGAAAUGAGUUCAAGAAUAAGCCUACUGAAAAUGCACUGCAAAUCCUCUGUGCUUGUGAGCCACAGAUCUGUUUAUUUUCCUACAGUAAAGCAAAGAGAAAAUUGAGCCACUGACAGAAGUCUAGUACUCCAAAGCAUUAAUGUUAGCUAGUUAUUUAGAACAUGAAUUUGAAUUCCUAGCAAAUUAAGCCAAAGCAUUUAGUAACAGUAUGUUCUAAAAUGGAGACAUCAACUUCCACAUUAUGUCCAUCAUGCACUCUGCCAGCUGCUCCAUAAGGCUUCUCUCAUACAAAUUAGUUCAUGUAGACCAGUAAUAUAAUAACCCAAAACAAUUUUUGUUGAUCCAUCUAUUAUAUCAACAGGGAUGUUGUCUGACCUUGUGAUCUGUCUUCUAGUGGGUGCCUCUAGACUGCAUAUCUGCUUAGAAGCAUUAAUUUUCACCACAAACUGUUAUUUUAUAGGUACAAGUAGUUAGCUUUGCUACGGAGCACAACUGGGAUUCUCUGGACUUCUAUGAUGGGGGAGACAACAAUGCACCGAGACUUGGAAGUUAUUCAGGUAAAAAAGAAACCAGAGUUCAUUGAAAAUGAAAAUAUAACCAGCGGUAUAGAAAAAGGAUUAAAAUAAUUGCCACAAACUCUUUGAGGUUUAAUUACGAACCAUACACUAUGACCUAAGAUACAAGAAGUUUUAACGUACUGAAAGGAGUGGUACAUGCUCGAUGAAGCUUUCCAGCAUUCUAGUAAUAGUUUGCUAAUAUGUCAUAAUUCUUUUCUGUGUGUGAUGAUCCUUUUAUACAAGUAGUAUAGGUGAUAUGUGUCAUUAACAUAUAGCACAUAUCAUACGUUGCCAGAGUUUGUACCGCUAUGGUUAGAUGGAGAGCUGGACCCAGCUGGAGAGACAACAGCAUC
rnacentral:lncRNA from 1 species